UAUUAUUAUAGAUAUAAAUUUUGGACUUGAGUAGUAUUAGUUAUGAUCUUGAAACUUAAAGAAUUUGGCGGUAUUUUAGUCUAUUUAGAGGAAUCUGUUCCAUUAUCGAUAUUCCACGUUGAACCUUACUUAAUUUAUUAAUAUGUAUACCGCCGUUUAUUGAAAAUCUUAUUAGGGUAGAAUUUUCUUAAUACAAAAUUUUGUAAUAUUUCAGGUCAAGGUGCAGUUUAUAAUUAAGUGGAAAUGGAUUACAAUACUUUAGUAUCACGGAUUAUAAUUUUAAACAGUUAUAUAAAGGUGGAUUUAAUAGUAAUUUUUAAAAGAUUAUUAAAGUGAUUAGAGCUCUAAAAUGUGUACACAUCGCCCGUCACUCUCGUUAUUAAGAUGAG
rnacentral:rRNA from 1 species